CACAUAGGGGGCGAGCGUUGUCCGGAAUCAUUGGGCGUAAAGAGCUCGUAGGCGGCUCGGUAAGUCGGGUGUGAAACCCCCAGGCUCAACCUGGGGACGCCACCCGAUACUGCUGUGGCUAGAGUCCAGUAGGGGAGUGUGGAAUUCCUGGUGUAGCGGUGAAAUGCGUAGAUAUCUGGAGGAACACCGGUGGCGAAGGCGGCAUCCUGGACCGGCAUUGACGCUGAGGCGCGAAAGCCAGGGGAGCAAACGGG
rnacentral:rRNA from 1 species